rnacentral:rRNA from 1 species
AACGAACGCUGGCGGCGCGCCUAAUACAUGCAAGUCGAGCGAGAAGACGUAGCAAUACGUUUGUAAAGCGGCGAACGGGUGAGGAAUACAUGGGUAACCUACCCUCGAGUGGGGAAUAACUAGCCGAAAGGUUAGCUAAUACCGCGUACGCUCCUUGGACUUCGGUUCAGGGAGGAAAGCGAUACCGUGGGUAUCGCGCUCUUGGAUGGGCUCAUGUCCUAUCAGCUUGUUGGUGAGGUAACGGCUCGCCAAGGCUUCGACGGGUAGCUGGUCUGAGAGGACAAUCAGCCACACUGGCACUGCGACACGGGCCAGACUCCUACGGGAGGCAGCAGUAAGGAAUAUUGCGCAAUGGGCGAAAGCCUGACGCAGCGACGCCGCGUGGGGGAUGAAGGUCUUCGGAUUGUAAACCCCUUUCGGGAGGGAAGAUGGAACGAGCAAUCGUUCGGACGGUACCUCCAGAAGCAGCCACGGCUAACUUCGUGCCAGCAGCCGCGGU